UCAUUUUAAUCUUAGGAAUUUAUACUAUUUAAUUAUCUCUUUCUCUUAUAGAAAUGACAUGCUCUAACAUGUCACAUUUUUAUAAUUACCUAUGUUAGCCUAUCACCAAAGAAUAUUCUUUAUUCUUUUCUUAACCACUUAUCCUUUCAUUCAAAUUUCCACUAACACUUUCUCUCUCUUCGUGGACCCCACCUCAAUCAGUUUGACUUUUCCUCUCUUCCCUCAUUCACUCUCCAACCGUUUCCACUCUCUCUCUCUUUACUCAUCCAAUUUAUUUUUCCUUUCCCAAUCUCUCUCUCCAAGGGCCCCACAUCCACCCAUUCAGACUUUUCUCUUCCUCACUCCACACUCUCCCUUCUCACUCACGAUUCUCUCCCUCUUUCUCCCACAAAAGAAAAAUAUCUCUCUUUCUUUUAUUAUUCUGAUUUCUUUCUCUCAAAAACAAAAGCUGCAGAACACUUUCUCUGAAGCUUGUCUGCAACUUCUCUUCUUCCUCCUCACCAUUUUCUUCUUCCCAACAUGUCUGGAACAACAACACCACCACGAGCCAAAACCGCGAGCACCACCACCUCUAUGCCUCCUUCACGCAGCAACCACCAUUGUCCAUGUUCUGUUUUUCCUCUCCAUGAGAGCCACCACCAAAACCCUAGCCGCCACCUAUUUCCUCCGAUCUCCGGCGAACCAUUAAGUUUUUGGAGAAACCAACGCCACCACUGAACUCCUCUCAUCAACCGCAACAAAACCCCUUCAUCGAUUCGAUGAUCGGCCACCGUGACUCCGGCGACCGCCGCCGCCGCCGUCUUCUCCGGCGAGCUUUGUUCUGAGAAAGGAGGCCAAUUUCUUGAAGCUCUCAACCUCCUCUUCCUGAAUCCAAGACUCAAUCAUCAUUAAUAGUUUCAAUGGCCACUGGAGGAAGGGGAGAGCACGACUAGACCAAACCAGAGGAAGAAGUGAAGCUCAGUCCCAGGACCAUGAGACUUGAGGUAGAAGGAGAAAGAUUUGAACACUGUGUUUAGAAAUUAUAUGUUAAUAGAAAAAAAAAUAUAGUGGUAGUAUUUUGGGCUUAUCCUUGUAUUAAUUAGUUAUGAUGGAAAAUGAUAUUGUUGGUGUCUAUAUUGGUAUUGUUAUUCUAAAAAUAAAACCAUACGUUAAAGUUGAAGUAAAUGUUUUGAAGGUUACACUUAGGUUAUUUUGGCUGAUGAGAUCAAUGGAGUUAUAUUGAAAAUAAAUAAUUAAAAAUUUCAAUCCUUUGUGUAAUUUUGCCAUGAUUCAUGGUUAUUUAGGGCUGUCCCUUGUUAAAUAGAAUUUGGAUUUUUCACUGGA